rnacentral:rRNA from 1 species
CCUACGGGAGUCAGCAGUGGGGAAUUUUGCGCAAUGCUCGUAAGAGUGACGCAGCGACGCCGCGUGAAUGACGAAUGCCUUCGGGUCGUAACGUUCUUUCGACAGGGAAGAAAAUGCCUAUAAGUAACUGUGUAUGUAUUGACGGUACCUGUAUAAGCAGCCCCUGCUACCUCCGUGCCAGCAGCCGCGUUAAUACGGAGGGGGCGAGCGUUGUUCGGAGGGACUGGGCGUAAAGAGCACGUAGGCGGUGUUGUAAGUCAUUAGUCAAAGACUAGAGCUCAACUUUAGUAAGGCUAGUGAUACUAUAAUACUAGAGUAUCAGAGAGGAUUGCAGAAUUCCUGGUGUAGCGGUGAAAUGCGUAGAUAUCAGGAGGAAUACCGUUAGCGAAGGCGGCAAUCUGGCUGGAAACUGACGCUGAGGUGCGAAAGCGUGGGUAUCAAACAGGAUUAGAUACCCUUGUAGUC